CCCACACGAGAGGGGUUAGAAAUCUAUCUAAAUUUGAGAGGCUUGGAUUAGCCGAAUGACUAGACCAACUAAACUCCGCUCCUUCCAACAAGAUGUCUAGAAGACUGUUAUGAGACAAUCUAGAUCGCCUCCUACGCACCACCUAAGGGAGGGUGGAAUAGAUGGCAAAGGAUGGGCUUCAAUGAGGGCUCGUGCAUGAAGGCAUAUGGUGAACAGGCUGGGUAGGCCUCAACAUCAAAGCUAAUUAGGUGAAGAAAAGGUGGCAACAAGGUUGGGACCUGGGGGGAGAGAAGAGGAGAUGAAUUAAUAGGAAAAUGGUGAGGAGGACUAAUGAGGUUAGGGGAGGGCAUACAAAGAGGGGGUGCAGGAGGAAGGGGUUGCAAGCCUAGGAUUGCAUAGAGAAAGGGUGGAGAGAGAGAGGGGAGGAAAUGGUGAUAAAUGGUUACAAGAUCACUUAUAAUGGAAAAUACCACCAGAGACUACAAUAAACAGAGAAUUCCCAAAGUUCACGAACUGAGCUUUCAGUUAUUUAGAUAUUCCUCCAGCCUAAGGGGAUCAACAACAUAGAAUAACAAUAUUAAAUAGUACCUAUACAGCAAGCAACCAAGUCUCUUGUAGCAAAGCUGAAAAUAUGCUUGAAAUGCUUGAACAGCCAAGCCUCCACAGCUGGCGUAACUUAUUGUUCUUUUCAUCCAACAUGGCAUUGUGUCAAACAUGAGCAAGUGCUGCUAGGGUAAAUCCCAG
rnacentral:lncRNA from 1 species